rnacentral:rRNA from 1 species
ACGAUGCGUAGGGGUUCUGAGAGGAAGGUCCCCCACAUUGGAACUGAGACACGGUCCAAACUCCUACGGGAGGCAGCAGUGAGGAAUAUUGGUCAAUGGCCGGAAGGCUGAACCAGCCAAGUCGCGUGAGGGAAUAAGGCCCUACGGGUCGUAAACCUCUUUUGUCAGGGAGCAAGGCCGCCCACGUGUGGACGGAAGGAGAGUACCUGGAGAAAAAGCAUCGGCUAACUCCGUGCCAGCAGCCGCGGUAAUACGGAGGAUGCGAGCGUUAUCCGGAUUUAUUGGGUUUAAAGGGUGCGUAGGCGGCCUGCCAAGUCAGCGGUAAAAUUGCGGGGCUCAACCCCGUACAGCCGUUGAAACUGCCGGGCUCGAGUGGGCGAGAAGUAUGCGGAAUGCGUGGUGUAGCGGUGAAAUGCAUAGAUAUCACGCAGAACCCCGAUUGCGAAGGCAGCAUACCGGCGCCCUACUGACGCUGAGGCACGAAAGUGCGGGGAUCAAACAGGAUUAGAUACCCUGGUAGUCCGCACAGUAAACGAUGAAUGCUAGCUGUCCGGGGGGAUUGACCCCUGG